GAAAUCAAACAAACACAACUCUUGGCAUCCAGACAGGCUUUCACUCGCUGUCCUCCCUGGUUCUCACGAUUUUAGAAGAGGGUGCUUUUAGUGCUUUCCACUGGUAGCCGGGCCAGAGGCUCAUGCUAGCGGCUAACGACACAAUUGAACGUGAUGGAAUCGGAUAGCAGCUCUAACAUUGUCGAAAUGGCUGAACUUAAUGAGUGGAUUGAGCACAGACUGCAUCUAACAAUUAAAAAAGCGUCUCUGAAUAAAGGACCAAGCAAUAAGGACCCUGAAAAUAUGGAGCUGCUUCAAAGGCUCACAAUGUAUUUGACAACUUGGCUGAGGUGUCAAUGGAUACAACAGAAGAGGUUUGACCUGAGGCAUCCAAUGACCCUAAAUAAUUUUAGGUAUAUUUCAUAUACCGUAAUUUUCGGACUAUAAGCUGCUACUUUUUUUCCUUCAUUUUGAAUCCUGCGGCUUACAGUCCAGUGUGGCUUAUUUCUUGAUUUAUUUGGAUUAAUAGGUAACACUUUAUUUGACGGUGGCAUCAUAGGACUGUCAAAUGACCGUCAUAAUUAUGGCAUGACACUGGGCAUUACUGAAUGCUUAUGACAUAUGUCAUUAAGAAUAAUCCUGCAAAUUAUGUCACUACCUCCAUUUAUGUCCAACUCGGAGCUUUUACAUCCAUUCAAAAGUGAGAUAAUUUGCCGGAUAACACUAAAGGACAUUUGUUGUAAGCAUUCUUUCAUGCUCAUGGCAGUCAUGUCAUAAUUAUGAUGAUAAUGGACAAUGCUUGUUUUGCAAAUAAGUGAAAAUAUCUAAAAAAGGGUUGUAGGCAAUGUUCACCUAUGGUUUGUUAUAUCCUGUGCUCCAGUUUUGACCUGCUAAACUAGUAUUCAAGGAAUAGUAGUGUCUUCCGUUGUUAUUUUAAUCACAGUUUUUAGAGGAUCUUUGUUUGUUUUUUAAGACUACAAACAUAUAGGGUAAAGACAAGCAGACAGUCAGUAAUGUCACAAAUAAAUAGGCCACCGGUAAUUUGAUUUUCCAUAAUGUUUGUAAAAAUAGGAUCAAUUAUUGUGGCACUAUGUGAUGUUAAUCUGGUAGGUUGGGUAUAAACUCAAACUUUACAUUGUGUCAAGAAAGUCAUCAAUGCCUUUUUGUUUCAUGUGAUUUAUCAAAUCAAUGUAAAAAUCACCACAAAUAAAUGAUUUUUGAUUCAGAGUAGAAAACAAUGUAUUCAUCCAUCCAUUAAAAGUUGCUAUAUUUGAACCUGG